rnacentral:lncRNA from 1 species
UUAGACUUUUCAUGUGUAAGAAUUUUUCCAGUGGCUAUUACACUGGAACUUGGAAUUAGAGAGGUAUAGGAAUCAAUAUUUUUACUCUUUACACAGAAUGAAAAGAAAAUGGCCUUCGAUGGGGUGAGGUUAAUCUCUGUUGUCUUAAUGUGUCAAAAAGCAUUUUUCAGAGGUUUCUAGAACCUGAAGUUCAUCUAUAUUUUUUCAUGUACCAUUUCUAUAGAUUAUUUAAUGAGAAAAAUUUUAAUAGCUAUUAUUUUCUUUAUAUAUCACUGAGAGAAAGAAAGACCUUUCUCUCCAAUCAAACAACUGAUGCUCAGUGCCUUAGCUCCGUGGUGAAGUCUCCUUGAAGCAGAAGAAAGGAAGAUAAAGGCAUUUGAGUGUCCAACUUUUACAUAUUAGGUAAAAUCUGGCCUAUUUGUAAAAUUUUUUUUUUAAAUGCCCUACACAGGAAGUACAAACGGUAGAUGUGAUCAAGGCAAGGUGACCUACUGGGAAGGAGGUAGUGGAUUGUCAGUUCUUACUUGUAGUUGUUGUAACCCCAGUCAUUCCACUUGCUCCAGGAGAAGUUGUGGCUGCUGGAAGAAGAAGGACACAAAUGGAAAAGAUUCAGGGGGCAUGGAAUGGAAUGGUGGAGCUCCUGCAUAGAAACACCAGAAGGAAAGACCUGUUACUGUAGCAAGCACCUGUGAAAGGACUCUCCGCCACACAGUGGACUCACCUGUGCUGAAACUUCCUGGGGCAACCGUUGUGGCAGGAGCUACCUCUGAGGUGCCUGAAACACAAAGAAACUGAGGUGAUCACAGUGAACGAGAGAAGUUGUGGCUGCUGGAAGAAGAAAGACACAAAUGGAAAAGAUUCAGGGGGCAUGGAAUGGAAUGGUGGAGCUCCUGCAUAGAAGCACCAAAAGGAAAGGCAUGUUACUGUAGCAAGCACCCAUGAAAGGAUUCCCCACCACAGAGUAGACUCACCUGUGCUGAAACUUCCUGGGGCAACUGUUGUGGAAGGAGCUACCUCCGAGGUGCCUGGAACACAAAGAGACUGAGGUGAUCAUAGUGAAUGAAAGUUGUGGCCUCUGAGAAAGAGGAAAACAGGACAGGAGUGAUGAACAAUAUUUCAAGACCAUGGAAAACUUAAGGUGGUUCUCCUACCCAGGAUAACACUGAAGGAGAAUUUGUCAUAGAUGGACUCCUGGAGGAAUCUGCCACCUCAGGGACUCACCUGUGUUGGAACUGCCAGGUGCAACAGUUGUGCCAGGAGCUACCCCAGUGGUGGCUGAAACACAAAGGGUCUGUGAUCAUCACAGUGACUUGUGUUUGUCUUCUGAAGACCUUCCUCCAGAAGGAAUCUGGGUGUAUCUUUGUUAUAUCAAAGGGCCCUUUCACUGCUUCCUGAUUAACUGAGAAUCAUAUGCCUUUGCUAUGACCCAUAGCAAAUUAAAAGAGCAAUGGAAAUAGUAAUGUGCCCAAAUUGAGGCCCCUCCACUGAAUUUCAUACAUUCACUCCCAGACAAGGAAACAGGGUGGCUUUCCCUCCCCUUCACCUGUCAGGCUCCCAGUUGCUUGGCCUCCUGAGGCUGCAGGGGUGCCUGCCAUGGGAUGAAAACCAGAACAAUGUUGUCAUGUGCCAAGAACACUGGAAAAUAUUUCAUAUCAUUAUUGCUUUUUUGAGUAAGAAAACUUUUAUACAGGAUAUGCUUGCUUCGAGAAUUUAUAUUGUUUUCUUUCCAGAAAUACAAUAUUUGUCAGCUCCCUCUACACCACAGUGGUAUACGUGGUUUUGCAGGAGAAAUCUGUUAUGCUGACUGUACCACCAGCCCCUCUUUAGAAAGUUACAGCUGUGGGGCUAGAUGUUGGUUUUAAGAGUUUUCCAGAAUGUGUUCAGUGUAAGAAAACACUGAAAGUAAAUGCAAACCACUACCUAGG